rfam:Schistosoma mattheei strain Denwood, Zambia genome assembly, scaffold: SMTD_scaffold0000076
GCACUGGUGAGGAGUUCCACAAUAGGACGAAACGGCCGUCCAGUGC